AGACUGGAAUGAAUGGAAAAAUGGGGCAAUACUUUCUUUAAUUAAAAAUUAAAAAUAAAUUUUUUAGUGAAGAAGCUAAAAUGAAUUUAAGGGACGAGAAGACCCUAUUAAGCUUAAUAAGAUUAUUUUGUUGGGGAAACAAAAGAAUAAAAUUUCUUUUUUUAGAAGAAUUGAUAAAUGGAGAUUUAACAUUGUUAAUGUUAGAGUAAGUUACUAUAGGGAUAACAGCAUAAUCUCUUUGAAAAGUACUUAUUGAUAAAGUGGAUUAUGACCUCGAUGUUGGAUUAAAAAAAUUGUAUUAUGCAGUUGUUAUAUAAAUUAGUCUGUUCGACUAUUAAAUUUUUAC
rnacentral:rRNA from 1 species